rnacentral:lncRNA from 13 species
UCGUGGCUGAUUGUGAGUAACUCCGCUCGUUGCGCAUCAGGUCGGUGCAACAAAAGGAGACAACUCGACAACCUGGAGCUGAGAGGAGGAGGAGGGCUUGGAGAGGCAUCGGGCCCCAGCGGAGCAACCUUGGGUAAUCACCGUAGCUUCGUGGCUGAUUAACUCCGCUCGUUG